GACGAACGCUGGCGGCGUGCCUAAUACAUGCAAGUAGAACGCUGAAGGAGGAGCUUGCUUCUCUGGAUGAGUUGCGAACGGGUGAGUAACGCGUAGGUCACCUGCCUGGUAGCGGGGGAUAACUAUUGGAAACGAUAGCUAAUACCGCAUAAUAGUAGAUGUUGCAUGACAUUUGCUUAAAAGCUGCAUUUGCAUCACUACCAGAUGGACCUGCGUUGUAUUAGCUAGUUGGUGGGGUAACGGCUCACCAAGGCGACGAUACAUAGCCGAGCUGGAAGGGAGGAUGGCCAACACUGGAACGGGAAAAGGGCCAGACUUCCAAGGGAGGGAGCAGUAGGGAAACAUCGGCAAUGGAGGGAAAUCUGGACGAGCAACGGCGGGGGGGUGAAGGAGGUUUUUGGAACGGAAAGGCCUGUUGUAAGAGAAGAACGAGCGUGAGGGUGGAAAGUUCACAUUGUGACGGUACCAUAAGAGAAAGGGACGGCUAACUACGUG
rnacentral:rRNA from 1 species